UUAAAAUAAUCUAAUUUAAUUUUGAAGUUUUCUUAGCAAUUUUUUAAAUCAUUACUUAUUACAUAUAUCGCAUAAAUGUAGCUUUUAAAAUAUACACUAACAGUUUCCCUUAUUUUAUACAUAUUAUUAUAUAUUUGGGUACCGUAGAAAUAGGAGGAUGGUAAAGUGCAUUCAAUUAAUAAUCUUAAUAGUGAAUAUCUGUUAUUUGUUUUGUGGCUCUUGGCUUUGGAUUUUGCUGUGUAAUCUAAAAAAUCUGAACUCGGAGUCGCUUAUUAGAUUUAUUUUAAUCAUAAUGAUAAUAAAGUGUAUUGAGUAAUACCACGUAACUUCUUUCAUUUCAAAUCGUUUAUCCUCCUAAGUCCCAGAAGUAGUCGCGUUGUUUUGGAAUUUGGAAAUUUGACUUGAUUAUAAAAAAAUAAAAAUAAAACCUGAAAAGCUUUGGAAAGGGCCUUUGGAACUGAAGGAGGAUAUAGUUCAAAAGCGGCCAAAAUCAAAUCGUCGGCUCGUUUACCCUGACUCUUUGUAAUAUUCUCUGCACUCCCUAAGUGCCCUAGAGUUAGACCAAGCUGAAUCUGCAGCGAAUUUAAUUGCACAGAACGCUUUGCGCUUUUGAAUUCGCUGCGAGUUAGCUUUUAUAUAUGUUAGCUUAUUCUAACCACUUCUAACUCUUACUCAUUUUCUCAUUUUAUACCGCCCUUGAAUAUUCCCGUGGCACGUCAAGAUGUUUUGCUUAUUUCUAUUGCCCGCUAGAUGUCGCUGUUAUGCCAAGGUAAGAGUGUUUAAAUUCACAAAUACUUUUACAGAUGCAAAAACUAAACGCAUUGCGAUUUUUUCUAAUUGUUUGACAUUUGCUGUCACAACAAUUAUCUAUUUCUUUCAUUUACACUAUUUUCUGUUGUGAAUUUUAUCACUAAGAAUUUAAACUAAAUAUUAAUAUGGAGGAUACAGCAGAAAUCGCUUUAAAAACACUGUGUUGCACAUGCUUAAGUAACGACAGAAAGUUGUCCCAACUUUGCCGAAUAAAUGAUGGAGUAAACAACCUAUAUUCGCUUCUCUCAUACGACUCGGAAGCUUACAGAGAAGGAUUCUACAAGGAAGCUGCAAGCCUAUUUAUUUGCUGGGAGUGUGCAGCAAUCAUGCGGAGGAUUGCCCGCUUUAGACGGCAGGCUUGUGUGGCGCAGAAACAGCUGUCAGUUAUAGCAGAGGGCCGGGAUAGUAUGUUGAAAACCAAAAAUUGCCUUUCCCGCCUUCUCCACUGUCACAAACAUACCUAUGACUUCACUAUAAUCUCUGACAUACAAGAAACUGACAAUUUCAUAGACUGCGGCCUGGAAAUCAAGACUGAAACUGACAUGGAUGACAUACCAUUGUCAGAAUUACAUGAUAACUGUAUGUCAGAUAAUGACUGCCCUAUUGAAGAUCGUGUGAAGGAAAUGAAGAAAAUCGAAGAAAAUGUUAAAGUUAAAACUACUAGAAAUAAAUUAAAUGAAUGUCGGGUGGAUAAAGUUACCAAUAAAAAAAGAAAAAGGUUAAAAAAGGAAGAUUAUUUUAAUUAUAAGGAUUAUUUUGUUACAAAAGGAAUUGGUGAACAGGAAAUGCUAGAGAAUAGGGAAAAAAGGAAAAUGGAGGAAAGUUUUGUUGCUGCGGCGUUCAAAUGUGAGUCUUGUGUGGAGACGUUUAAGAGUCAGAUUAGCCUGGACCGACACAAUGAGGAUUAUCAUGUGGAGAAACCCGAUCAUGUACAGUGCCUCAUCUGCCUAUGCUACAUAAAGAACGACAGUGCGGUCGCCCACAAGUCAGACCACUGCUCGCUGCACUCCUGCCUUCUCUGUGACCAGGUCUGCUACAGUGUGCAGGAAAUGAACAAGCAUUUGAAGGUUCAUAAGCAUGUGAAAAACAAAAAGAUCGGGCGGCCUGGUAAAACAGGCAGUGGGUCGACGGAGCUGCCCGCAGAUGUGUACCCCUGCCCGGAGUGCAACAAGUAUUUCCAGAAUAAGAACCAGCGUUGGAAACACGUGCAGCGGCAUCACCGGGAGGGCUACAAGUGCGCCACCUGCGGCAAGAAGUUCGCCUUCAAGAAUAACCUCGCCAGGCACGAACAGGUCCACCUGGCGCCGCCUCCCCGCCAGCAGUGCCCCUCCUGCAACAAACUGGUCCGCGUCGACCUUCUGAAGAUCCACGCGAGGAUCCACCAGAAGCGAGAGCAGUUCGAGUGUAUCGAAUGUGCUAAGAGUUUCGUCAGCCGAGCGUCGUACGAGCACCACCUCAAGUACACUCAGGCGCACGCCAAUAAGGACAUACUCAAAUACAAGUGCAGUGUGUGCGAGAAGGGCUACCGGUCCCGCGGCGAGCUGCGCGACCACGUCAACUACCGCCACGCCGGCCAGACGCAGCACGAGUGCCCUGUCUGCGGCAAGGCGCUGGCAACGCGCAGGUGCAUCACGCGGCACGUCCGGCGCGCGCACCACGGCCUCAAGGAAGGACCCCGCGACAAGAUCUGCCAGCAGUGCGGGAAGGCCUUCAGGGUGAGUGUGUGACAACAGCUCGUGGCCCCGCGGCAACACGCACGUGACACCACGGCCUCAAGGAAGGACCCCGCGACAAGAUCUGCCAGCAGUGCGGGAAGGCCUUCAGGGUGAGUGUGUGACAACAGCUCGUGGCCCCGCGGCAACACGCACGUGACACCACGGCCUCAAGGAAGGACCCCGCGACAAGAUCUGCCAGCAGUGCGGGAAGGCCUUCAGGGUGAGUGUGUGACAACAGCUCGUGGCCCCGCGGCAACACGCACGUGACACCACGGCCUCAAGGAAGGACCCCGCGACAAGAUCUGCCAGCAGUGCGGGAAGGCCUUCAGGGUGAGUGUGUGACAACAGCUCGUGGCCCCGCGGCAACACGCACGUGACACCACGGCCUCAAGGAAGGACCCCGCGACAAGAUCUGCCAGCAGUGCGGGAAGGCCUUCAGGGUGAGUGUGUGACAACAGCUCGUGGCCCCGCGGCAACACGCACGUGACACCACGGCCUCAAGGAAGGACCCCGCGACAAGAUCUGCCAGCAGUGCGGGAAGGCCUUCAGGGUGAGUGUGUGACAACAGCUCGUGGCCCCGCGGCAACACGCACGUGACACCACGGCCUCAAGGAAGGACCCCGCGACAAGAUCUGCCAGCAGUGCGGGAAGGCCUUCAGGGUGAGUGUGUGACAACAGCUCGUGGCCCCGCGGCAACACGCACGUGACACCACGGCCUCAAGGAAGGACCCCGCGACAAGAUCUGCCAGCAGUGCGGGAAGGCCUUCAGGGUGAGUGUGUGACAACAGCUCGUGGCCCCGCGGCAACACGCACGUGACACCACGGCCUCAAGGAAGGACCCCGCGACAAGAUCUGCCAGCAGUGCGGGAAGGCCUUCAGGGUGAGUGUGUGACAACAGCUCGUGGCCCCGCGGCAACACGCACGUGACACCACGGCCUCAAGGAAGGACCCCGCGACAAGAUCUGCCAGCAGUGCGGGAAGGCCUUCAGGGUGAGUGUGUGACAACAGCUCGUGGCCCCGCGGCAACACGCACGUGACACCACGGCCUCAAGGAAGGACCCCGCGACAAGAUCUGCCAGCAGUGCGGGAAGGCCUUCAGGGUGAGUGUGUGACAACAGCUCGUGGCCCCGCGGCAACACGCACGUGACACCACGGCCUCAAGGAAGGACCCCGCGACAAGAUCUGCCAGCAGUGCGGGAAGGCCUUCAGGGUGAGUGUGUGACAACAGCUCGUGGCCCCGCGGCAACACGCACGUGACACCACGGCCUCAAGGAAGGACCCCGCGACAAGAUCUGCCAGCAGUGCGGGAAGGCCUUCAGGGUGAGUGUGUGACAACAGCUCGUGGCCCCGCGGCAACACGCACGUGACACCACGGCCUCAAGGAAGGACCCCGCGACAAGAUCUGCCAGCAGUGCGGGAAGGCCUUCAGGGUGAGUGUGUGACAACAGCUCGUGGCCCCGCGGCAACACGCACGUGACACCACGGCCUCAAGGAAGGACCCCGCGACAAGAUCUGCCAGCAGUGCGGGAAGGCCUUCAGGGAUAAAAAAGGCCUCCGCGAGCACGAGUUCAUCCACACGGGCGAGCGGCCGCUGUCCUGCGAGCUGUGUGGAUGCACCUUCCGGCAGAGCGCCUCGCUCUACACGCACAAGAAGAGGGUGCACAAGAUAUGCCCUCCCAGG